GAGUGAGCGGCUGCGCGGCUGCUGGGAGGGUGAAUGAAGCCAGGAGGAGGGGAAGGAGGAGGCGGCGGCGGCGGAGGAGGCGCUGCGGGGAUUGGGAUGCGCCCUGGAGCCCCGCUGCUCGUUCACUCUGGGCCGGGCCGGAGACUCCGCCACUCCCGCGGCCGCCGCCGCCGCCGCCUCCUACGUGGUUCCAGCGCUGCGAGCAGGCCGGUCCCGCAGGGGGCAGGGAAGGGGCCGGCCGGGCGGAGCGAGAGGUCUUUACCUCACAAAAACUACUACAAGCACCAGGCUCCCUGAUGGAAAGAAGCACCGUGCAGCAAGUCGCGAGGCUGGUCCGCGCACGCCGGGGAUUGGUUUGCCAUCCUUGUGAGACGGUCUCCUGCUCCACGGCCACUCCAGGGAGGUGCGCCCCAUAUCAGCUUUCUGUCUUCAGUUUCCCAUUUUUAGCUGGCAAAGAACACCAGCCAGAAGAAAGCCAGGUUCAUGGUGCUGCAAGGUGCAUCAAACCAUCUGUAGAUAAGAAGGUAACAUUUUGGCCUAAGAACCACCUUCUAAUAUAAGAUAGAAGAUAAUAUAAUAACUGAGAUAGCAUACAAAAGGGCCCUGUUAAUAAGAAUUUGAAAAUAAGAUUUUUCCUAAAUAACCAAAUUUAUUUGGUAGUUGGGUAAGACUUACGUGAUACAAACAGG
rnacentral:lncRNA from 1 species